CAUCUCGCGGAGAGAAAGGGCAGCCGCACGCGCUCGAGCUCGAGCUCUAGGGUUUCCCCGCCGCCUCGCGGAUCCUCGUCCUCUCGCCGCUGAGUGACUCCCAGUUAGUUAAAUUGAAAAUGUCAGAAAUAGAAGAGUACCGGUGCUUUAUAGGCAGCCUCUCAUGGUCAACAACUGAUGAAGAUCUGAAGGAGGCAUUUCAAAAGUUUGGUCAAAUCACUGAGGCAAAGAUUGUUGUUGACAAGUUUUCUGGUCGUUCCCGUGGAUUUGGCUUUGUCACUUUUGAUGACAAGGGAGCUAUGGAAGAAGCUAUCGAAGCCAUGAAUGGGAUGGAUCUGGAUGGGCGAUCUAUUCUUGUGGAAAGAGCUCAACCACAAGGUCCUGCUAGCAGGGAUCGUGAUGGUGGGCGUGACUUUGAUCGAGAUCGAUCUCGUGGGCGUGGUCGUGAUUUUGGUGGUAGUGGACGAGGUUCAAAUAGUGGUGAUUGUUUUAAAUGUGGCAAGCCUGGUCAUUUUGCUAGGGAAUGCCCUUCUGGUGAUGGUGCAAGAGGGGAUGGGUAUGGUGGCAGAGAUGACAGGUAUGGGGGUAGUCGUGGCAAUAAUAAUCGAUAUGGUCCUGACCGGAAUGGGGACCGAUAUAGUGGUCGUAGUAGGGAUGGGGGAGGCCGUGGAGGUGGGGGCAUGGGAGGUGAUCGUUAUAACCGUGAUCGAUCCGGACCAUAUGAACGCCCUAGUGGAGGCAGCUACAGAUCCUGAUCCCAUUGCUGCUUAUGAUCCAGUCAUGGAGCUAGUUUGAUACCAGUACUGGUGAUUAAGGUGGUAGUGGGCCUUGUUACUCGCUUUAGUUAUGGUGUUCUAUGGUACACUCUGCUUUGCAUCUGUCAGGCAUGCUACUUUGGUGCUACUUCAGGACUUGGAUGCCACUGGUUAUAUGAUAAAUGUUGCUAUAAUACAGUGCCCUGUUCUUUCUGGAAAUUGCUGCUGCUUGGUGCUUUAUCGUUUGUGCGUUCCCCAUGUUGGAUUCUGUGCUUUAGUAAGAUCCUUAUCAUGGUCUUGAGUGUUUGGAAUGUUGAUGAUCUGGAUGCUGGUGGAGAACUUGAUAAAAUGAUACAGUCUUGUUCAGUUAAGAUCUCUGCUUUUCUGUGGGAUUAGAGGCGUGUGAAGCAUUUUUUGGAAAAAUGAUUUAUCUCCCUUAAGAAAUGCCUGAAAUGAUAAACAGUGGAUUUUUAGGCUUUGGUGAUGUCAUCCAGUUUGCACCUGCCAAUAUGUUUUUCUGGGAUGGAUACUGGGUUCAAUUUGGUCCUGUGAUCGUUCUCACAUUUUUGGGUUACCUA